CCGGGUUGCGGACAGUGUCUGGUGGGUAGUUUGACUGGGGCGGUCUCCUCCUAAAGAGUAACGGAGGAGCACGAAGGUUGGCUAAUCCUGGUCGGACAUCAGGAGGUUAGUGCAAUGGCAUAAGCCAGCUUGACUGCGAGCGUGACGGCGCGAGCAGGUGCGAAAGCAGGUCAUAGUGAUCCGGUGGUUCUGAAUGGAAGGGCCAUCGCUCAACGGAUAAAAGGUACUCCGGGGAUAACAGGCUGAUACCGCCCAAGAGUUCAUAUCGACGGCGGUGUUUGGCACCUCGAUGUCGGCUCAUCACAUCCUGGGGCUGAAGUAGGUCCCAAGGGUAUGGCUGUUCGCCAUUUAAAGUGGUACGCGAGCUGGGUUUAGAACGUCGUGAGACAGUUCGGUCCCUAUCUGCCGUGGGCGCUGGAGAACUGAGGGGGGCUGCUCCUAGUACGAGAGGACCGGAGUGGACGCAUCACUGGUGUUCGGGUUGUCAUGCCAAUGGCACUGCCCGGUAGCUAAAUGCGGAAGAGAUAAGUGCUGAAAGCAUCUAAGCACGAAACUUGCCCCGAGAUGAGUUCUCCCUGAGACUU
rnacentral:rRNA from 9 species